CCCUUAGAUGUUCUGGGCUGCACGCGCGCUACACUGACGCACGCAACAGGUGCCUGCUCCGAGAGGACUGGAUAAUCAUUUGAGUGUGCGUCGUGAUGGGGAUAGAAUAUUGUAAUUAUUACUCUUCAACGAGGAAUUCCUAGUAAGCGCCAGUCAGCAGCUUGCGCUGAUUACGUCCCUGCCCUUUGUACACACCGCCCGUCGCUCCUACCGAUGGGUGAUCCGGUGAAUGAUUCGGACUUCAGCGGCUCCCCUGGGGUGCGCCGGAGAAAGUUUUGUGAACCUUAUCACUUGGAGGAAGGAGAAGUCGUAACA
rnacentral:rRNA from 1 species